UGUUGCACUUCAUGCUGGAUUGGAAUCCGUCGGCAGCUGCUGCCGCUGACAGUGCUGUGGCCGUGUUUAGGGCACUGCAGUGCUCUCAUGCGGUGCAGAACCCAGAGCAGAAAGUUUUAUGGCGUGCUGGGUGCCGGUCAAAGUUUUUGCCGCCACAUUACUGCUGCAGCGCGGAUAAUUGAUCCGUCCCUCCGCCUUUAAGUCGCUUGCCUCCUAAGAAAUGGUUGCAGGGAGGAGGAAUGUCGGCAGCUAUGCAGUCCUGGCAGCAGCUGUAUUGAUCAUCCCUCUGAAGAAGUCCGUAUAGGACGAAACGCAUCAGGGUGGAAAAGAGAGAAAAUAUACCCUUCAUUUCAUCUAUGACACAAAUUAUUGCUAUGUGUAUUUGAAAGGUGUGGUAUCAAGGUAUAUAAGGCCUGGACAUCUACUGUUACCCACCUGUAUGAGGUUUGCCAUUGGAAAUCUUUCAAAACUCUCAGGAGAUUGGUUGAAUCUUUCAAGUAUGAUUGCUGUUGUUUUACAUACGGUUGAAGUUUCAAAUCCAGGAAAUGGGACAAAUUUGAAGUCAGUGAAUCCACCCCUGCCACUAUUGAUCUUCCUGGAGGUGGAUUUUUACUCUUAUGUACCUUAGGUAAAUGAUAGAAUAUUAGAAUCCUGGGUUUUUUGUUAUACAUAUAUUCAAACGCCUCCCUACACAUGGUUUCCUUACUUAGAGCCUUAUUCAGGACAAUGGACAAAUCUUCUUUGAAGAUUUCCGUUGGAUUGGUUUCCAAACUUUCAUAUGCAGUUAUAUCUUUAAUCUGUCUUUUAGCCUCAUGCAGGUACGCAGAUCUGUCCUGGAUCACGACAGCCCCACUUUUAUCUGCCAUUUUAAUCACUAUGUCGUCAUCAUUUGGGGUAAAGUUGUCUUGGAAUCUAUUAUCUUGGAUUUUUAAUUUCUUGAAGUCCUCUUUUACAGAGUCAAAGAAGAAAUCUAUAUGACAGCUCCUGGAUUCCACAGCAUAAUACAUGGAUCUGGGUGCUAAUAGUGGUUUAUUUUUAGGUUUUUAAUUCAAUUUGGGCAUGAUUUUUUUUAGGAAGUGUCUCUUAAAUAAUAUGUAUAAUGUUUAUAAUUGCCAACAAAUUCAUCAUGUCUGUAAUAAUGUUUUUUUCUGUCAUGUAAAGAGGAUUUCCCUUUAAGGGAGCUGUAUUAACAUGAACAUUCUAGACAUGUGGGAUAUAAAGUAACUGUAUGUUCAAAAAUGAAUAGAAUGGUUUUGUUACAUCCUGAGGAAUAAUAUAUAAAUGGAUAUUGAGAACUGUGUCAUAUGAUACUGCUCCCGCGGGUAUGAGAAAAAUGUGUUUGUGUAUUUGUAUUAUUAUUUGUAUUUGUAUUAGUGCUGAAAUCCGAUAAGUUCAAAAUGUAUUAAUGAAUUGAGUUUUUGAAGUGUAUAAUUUUAUAUGUAUUCUUAAAAAAGUAAUAUGCUAAAGUAAUAUGCUAAGGUUAGUGGGGUAUGAUCAGGCCACACCCCCGAUGAUGUCUAAUGACGACAAGCGUUGGGCAUGUUUUUUGGACAGAUGGAGACACGUCACGAUCCGUGUCCUCUGAGAGCAGGAGACCUGCAGGCCGUGACAGCGCUACUGACUACAGAUGCUGGGAAGCAGUGUUAGCGGGAGCCAUGGAGCCACUUUGAACAACGUUGGCAGCCUGGAUAUUGAGAUCCAUCCUAAGCCAAUGCAGGACCAGUGUGAGGCUGAUUGUGGUUAUUUGAGAUGUAUGUGAGCUUCUACUCUAUUUAUUAAAUAAUUGAUGCUUAUUA